UUUGACCUACGGGGGGCAGCAGUGGGGAAUAUUGGGCAAUGGGCGCAAGCCUGACCCAGCAACGCCGCGUGAAGGAAGAAGGCUUUCGGGUUGUAAACUUCUUUUCUCAGGGACGAAGAAAGUGACGGUACCUGAGGAAUAAGCCACGGCUAACUACGUGCCAGCAGCCGCGGUAAUACGUAGGUGGCAAGCGUUAUCCGGCUUUACUGGGUGUAAAGGGCGUGUAGGCGGGGGUGCAAGUCAGGUGUGAAAACCACGGG
rnacentral:rRNA from 1 species